rnacentral:rRNA from 1 species
CCUACGGGUGGCAGCAGUAGGGAAUAUUGCACAAUGGGGGAAACCCUGAUGCAGCAACGCCGCGUGGGUGAAGGAGUGUUUCGGCGCGUAAAGCCCUGUCAGCAGGGAAGAAGAAAGACGGUAGCCGACCAAGAAGCCCCGGCUAACUACGGUCCAGCAGCCCCGGUAAUACGUAGGGGGCGAGCGUUGUCCGGAAUUACGGGGUGUAAAGGGAGCGGAGACGGGGAGGUAAGCCUGAUGUGGAAGCCCGCGGCCCAACCGCGGAAUUGCGUUGGGAACUGUUUUGCUAGAGUAUGGGAGGGGUAAGCGGAAUUCCAGGUGUAGCGGUGAAAUGCGUAGAUAUCAGGAGGAACACCGGUGGCGAAGGCGGCUUACUGGACCAUAACUGACGUUGAGGCUCGAAAGCGUGGGGAGCGAACAGGAUUAGAUACCCCUGUAGUC